AUUGAACGCUGGCGGCAUGCCUUACACAUGCAAGUCGAACGGCAGCACGGGAGCAAUCCUGGUGGCGAGUGGCGAACGGGUGAGUAAUGUAUCGGAACGUGCCCAGUCGUGGGGGAUAACGUAGCGAAAGCUACGCUAAUACCGCAUACGAUCUAUGGAUGAAAGCGGGGGAUCGCAAGACAUCGCGCGAUUGGAGCGGCCGAUAUCAGAUUAGGUAGUUGGUGGGGUAAAGGCUCACCAAGCCGACGAUCUGUAGCUGGUCUGAGAGGACGGCCAGCCACACUGGGACUGAGACACGGCCCAGACUCCUACGGGAGGCAGCAGUGGGGAAUUUUGGACAAUGGGCGCAAGCCUGAUCCAGCAAUGCCGCGUGCAGGAUGAAGGCCUUCGGGUUGUAAACUGCUUUUGUACGGAACGAAACGGUGAGCUCUAAUACAGUUUGCUAAUGACGGUACCGUAAGAAUAAGCACCGGCUAACUACGUGCCAGCAGCCGCGGUAA
rnacentral:rRNA from 1 species